rnacentral:rRNA from 1 species
CAGCAGCCGCGGUAAUACGUAGGGGGCAAGCGUUAUCCGGAUUUACUGGGUGUAAAGGGAGCGUAGACGGCUGUGCAAGUCUGAAGUGAAGGGCAUGGGCUCAACCUGUGGACUGCUUUGGAAACUGUGCAGCUAGAGUGUCGGAGAGGUAAGUGGAAUUCCUAGUGUAGCGGUGAAAUGCGUAGAUAUUAGGAGGAACACCAGUGGCGAAGGCGGCUUACUGGACGAUGACUGACGUUGAGGCUCGAAAGCGUGGGGAGCAAACAGGAUUAGAUACCCUGGUAGUCCACGCCGUAAACGAUGACUGCUAGGUGUCGGGUAGCAAAGCUAUUCGGUGCCGCAGCUAACGCAAUAAGCAGUCCACCUGGGGAGU